GCAGGACACUCUGGAGAGUAGGCGCGCGCCUCGCAGGCGGUGCGCGGCCUCGCCGAAGGUACAAGCGUGCAUGCGGGCCAAGCCGCGUCACGCCAAUUUCUCAGGCAAACGGACAGAGGGGGCACG
rnacentral:ncRNA from 2 species